GCCCUCCCUCCUCUUUCCUCCCUUCUUGAAUUAUAAGCACUUGAUUUAUCAUGGUUUUGGAAGACCAAUGUCUGCUCCAUAUGAGUAGUUUAGAGAAUGUAAAUUGUUCAUUAAAUCAUUACAGUCUUUCAAUAUUGUUAAUAACAUCAGUAUCACAAUCAUCUACUUUAGAAUCACGAAUGUUAGAAUCUAUCAGUGCUAGAAGAGGCAUGCUGGAAGAUGCAGCCUUCCAGUGGUGAAGGGGCCUCAGGACUCACUGUCGGGGCUAAGCACCUGCUACAACCAGAGCAGCUCCACUUUUAGGGUUGCACAUGAAUUUCCUUUUUUCUUUUCUUUUGAAGUAAACUCUACUGCUACACAGUUGAUCUAGUCUACCUCCAUUCCUCCCAUAGAUGAGAAUACUAAAGCUUAGAAAUGUUAAGUGACUGACAUCUUUUGCAAUUCUGUGUCCCCUGAGGAGAGAUUUUGAAUUGAGGGUGGCACUUAGGUCCUUGGUGAUAUCAUGAGCUGGCGAAUUAACCUUGGAAACCUUUUAUCUUUGGACUUCUUGUGUUGCUAUAUAAUAAACCCUUGUUGUUUAUGCCACCCUUAGUUGGGUAUUCUGUUACUUGCAAUCUAAAGCAUCCUAAAGGGUAGAAAAAUCUCAGAACAAUGCUUUUUGUCCAAUGCAUUUGAAUUAAGAUCUGCUCAAAUGUUUCUUUGCCUGCAAGACUCUCUUCAACACUCAGUGUUCAAUAAGACAAAGGGGGAACUACAACUCUGACAUUGAUUAAAAGUGUUGCAUACCUUUAGGUUCAAGCUAGUGGGUGGCCUCAGCUUCCAUUCUGUGCAUAGGAAAGGAGACCAUGGGGGUUCGAUGGUGCCACUUGGGAGGGCCCUCUUCCCUGCCUCCUUCUCAUGUGUCUCUUUUGCUCAGGUCCAUCUUCAUAAAUGGUAAUUUCAGGAGCCCAUUUACUCCACAUAAAAGGUGAGUGACUCCGUUUAUAAUAAAUCUCAGUGUGGUGUGCAAGCUAUCAUUCCCUUCAUUUGACCUUGGUGGAACAGGCUGAUGGGGCAGUGAAAAGUAUGAUAUGAAAAAUGAGGGAGCAGAGCAAAGUGAGCAGUGAAUCAGUCUUGUGUGUGAUUAGCUGUGAAAAAUCUCACCAACAUGACUCAGAGUCACUUUUUCUUUUCUCUCUUUUCCCAUCCCCUUUCUCUCUCCCCAUAAUAUCUCACCAGCCACCCCUCAAAUGAGCUUUCCUGCAUGUGACUGCCAUGUCCGCACCAGUAGCCCUCAGAUCCUUACAGGGCUUCCUGGAUUGUGAGGUCUGGGCUAAGGGAAAUUAGGCUCAGAGGAGGAAAAUAUUUUGGGGCAGGGGGUUGGAAGAGGGCUAGCGGAGCUCAGCUGAAGCCUUGGGGAGUCCCCCCCAGGGGCACGUUGAGAAGAUGUGAGUGUGACAGAAUGACUUCAGCAGGCACUGUAAAUCUGCAGUCAUACCUGAGGACUCAGUGACUCACAGUUGAGGUCUCCAUCAGCUCCAUUUGCAGAGUCAAGCCCUAUAAAAACAGGGCGAUGGGAUGGUAAAUCAGGCUUCCUGGGAAAUUGUGGGAUCCUGCCACAGAAGGCUUGAGCACAUAAAACGGAAGCUUGCCUUUAAUGGCACGGCCCUUAUUGCCACGCUGCAGAGGCCACCUUGGUGGCACAGCGAGGAGCUUUGGGAGGAGAAUUUCCUGCUGCAGCUGGUCUCUUCUGAGGAUGCUGUCCUUCGAUGUCCUCUUGGUGUGACAUCUGUGGGCCAGGAGACAAGGAGGGUGAUGAGUGGCUGUAGAUGCUCCAUGUGGUUAACCUCACCAGAUGACUUCAGCUACCUCAUUAAUGUCCCUGCACAAGCUGCAGUUGCUGCCUUCCUCCCCUUUAAAACAGAGCACAUGUGUUCAUCUUCAGAACCAGCAGAGGGUAGAAUGUUCAUGGAAAUUGGGCCCCUGCUAACAAGUCCUCUGAUGAGGAUGAUGGAAAUAUUCUUUGUUCAUUAUAUAGUCUGUAGCAUGUAUUUUCUGACCACCGAGUAGUUCAUGAGUUCAGCCAUAUCACACCAACAUUCGCCCUACUUAUCGGACAUAACAUUAAUUAUGAUUAUUUUUAGAUUUUUAAAGUGUUUUAUUGCCUCAAAAUGUAGUCCCCAGCUAGUGAGGAAGGAAAGCUUCCUAGUGGAUGAAUUAAGUGAGUUUAUAAGAGUGCUUUGUAAUCUGCUUUUCAUUUUUUCCUGUAUAAAUGGAUACUGAUUUUUCUCAAGGUGCUCAGACAUGACCCUUCAAUCUUACUUGCACCAUUUACUAUCUAUCAAUUGUUGCCACAAUGAUGCUGCUUGACAAAAUGCCCCAACGCCUAGUGGCACUCGAUCAGCAAUUAUUAUCAUGCUCACAGUUUGUGGAUUGGCCGUGGAGACUCUGCUUCAUCCUGCAGGUCUGUGGGUUGGUUGAGCUGUUCUCUUCUGGGUGUUUCUAUUUUGUCUGGAACCAAUGGGCUUUCCAGGCAAGUUGUUCUCAGUUCAGGUCAGAGACUUGGAGAGGGGCAGCAGAAAUAUGUGAGGCCUCAAGGAAGGCCUAGACUCAGCCAGCCCAUCGUCAUUUCAGUCUACAUUCCAGGGCCGAAUGAAGUCUUGUGGCCAAGAUCAUUAUCAGUGGGUUAGGGAUAGAUACUCUGGUGGUAGGAAGUACAAACUCACAAGGCAGAGGGCCUAGGAGCAGGAGAGUGAAGAAUUGAGAAGGAUUUCAUAAUGCACCAUUAUUUGUUUAUUUAGUCAACAUGUAAUUUAUGAAGCACCUGUCAUGAGCUUGGUUAGGUUUUCCAUCAGAAAUCAGACAGAAUUCAACUUUUCAAAACUUCCAAAUGUGUUAGGUGAUUUAAUAAGGUUUUACUGUAAAAACAGAGUAGGUAUUUAGUGAAAGUAUAAAAAAUUAAAAGUGGAAUUUGAAUACAUAAGAAUAAUGAGUUGUUGAAUAUCACUUCCAUGUUUGUGUGUUCUUGGUUACUAUAGUCAUAUUAACAGUCAUGUUUAUGGGUGGUUGUUGUAGAUACAAAGGAUAAAUAUCUAAAAGAGGACAAAUAUCUCAGUCAAUAACCAUUUACUCCUAUCCUGGGUCUUAGUUGUUAAUUUCGGUUAUAUGACUUGAGCUUGUAGAAUAAAGUGAAACAGAUUAACAAAUCAUCAGAAGGAGCCCUAAGAGAGUUAAAAAGAAAAACAGAUUAGGGUAAAUUUUCAUUUGGCAUUAAUUUCCCCAAAGAUAUAGUCCUACAGCAAACAUUGCAAGAUUGACAAUUGUGUAAUAGAUGCAUAACAUGUCCAAACAGUUAAGCUGUUCUUCAAUUAACACCCAGCCCUGUCACGCCAUAUGUACUACUGAGUUUAAGAAGGAUGCAGAUUUGGCAAAAGUCCAGAGGAACCAUAGCGGUAACAAUAAUUGGUGAGACGAUGUAUCUGAAGAGCUUUAUGGGGUUGGCAUUAUUUGCCUAAAGAAGAGAAGCUUGAAGGAUAUUUAUUCCUCAGGUGUACCAGGAGUGGUUUUGUGUGACAAGGUAACCAGCUGUUCUCCAUCUUAACCGUGAUGUGAAUAAAAAGAAGGUUCACAAUUUACCAUGUUUAAAUUAAGUUAGACCUGCAGAGAACUUCUUUCACUUGUUACAUUCUGUAGUGGUGUCCGAGAAUUGUUUCUUAGUCGUAGAGUAUUUCUCCAGGGUGGAUUUAAUUUUUAACUUUGGAACAGGAAAGAGGUUAUUUUCCCUAGAGUUGGUCAUGUGUUAUUCUCCCUGGGGGCCAAGAAGCAGAAUCUUUCUGAAAACCUGUUUCUGGAUGUUGAGGGAGAAGGUAGGGUUUGCACAGCAUUGUGGGAUUGUGGGCUGAGGUAAUGAAGUGUUCUGCCUCCUGUUGCCGUGGGAUGGCCAUGGCCUACCCAGUCUGAGGGGACAGCUUGUCGGUUCUAUUACAGAGAGCAGUAAAGAGUCUUUAAGAACUUUAAUUUCCACAAGAAAUGGAAGGCUUACUUUCCCAAUUACUUUAUAAGCUGGAUAUGGUAGGAGAUAAUCUAAGAGUUUUGCAGGGGAUGUUCCCUGGAUGUUUUAAUGUUGGAUGGUUUACGUGGAGCCCUCAUAAUUUAGAGAUUGAAGCCAAAGUGUCUCUGUGUACCUAAAGUACACAUUUACAAUAUCUUUCUUCUCUAUUUAAAAUAAAACCCAAAAUUUAACAAGAGAAACGGCAAACUUCUUGUGUUGUUUUCUACUUAACCCUGAAUUACCAUACAUCAUACUCUAAGAUUGUUUUCCUAAAUUUGCAGUAAUAUAGAUUAUUGAGUCUGUGUCUUACAUAAUCCAAAAUUUGAGAAUCCUGAGACGGCACAUCAAGUCUUAGUAAAAUAAGAAAAUUAUAUACACAGGAAGGAAGGGAAAAUAAGCAGCAAAUAAGAUGAGGUGAAAAGGAGGCAUCGUGGCAUUAUGGAGAGAACAUACGGGCAGGAGACUGAGGAUUUCAUUUUUCCAUCACUAAUUGCAUAAUCUUAUGUGAGUCACUUAACAACAUAUCGUGAUUCUUCCAUCUAUGAAAUAAAAGGCUUGCAUUAGGUCAUCUCAUGAUUCUCUCCAGUUCUAAAAUUCUUUCAUGCAUAGUCUGUGCUACAUCUUUCUUGGAGAAGCAGCUUUGUUUUCCUGUGCCCAUUCUGUGAGUGGAAAUGCCUUCGAAGUUUACUUUUUAGCGAGCUUAACAGAGUAGUCUUCAGGUUAGUCAGUGAAAUUGUGUCAACUUCUGAAUUCAGAGUUGUGAACAUCAGCACUUAGACCACUCUUCCAUUCCUUUGCUUUGAGCCCAGUCGGUGAUUAAAUAUAGCAUCUUUUGCUGUGGAUUCAGAACUCUGUCUCAGAAUCCUUUUAAUCACAGCUCGCAUCUACUGGGUGACUAGAGUUGGCUCUCAAGAUGAAAUCUCUUUAUUCUCCCUGGUCCAGUGUGUGUAGACCUCUGACAAUGCAGGAAGUGGGGGGAGUGGUGGAGUAUAGAGAAACAGAUUCCUACCCAAGACGGCUUCUCGGCUAAACUAAAGAAAUUGGGAAGCAAGCAUGAGAACCCAUGAUGGGAAGUCAUCCUGGGUAGGGGUUAGUUUGGGUUUCAUCAGGGUAUUUCAAAUCAUCAGAAUGACUCUGUUUUAACUAUGCCAUGCCAUCUUGUGGGUACACAGAAUGCCGUGGAAGAUAGGUGGAAAUGAUUUAAGACAUUUGACUUUUCAACAAAUACAUAUUUGAAAGCCAGUGGUCUUUUGCAUAACCAUUUUGUUCUGGCUCCAAUCUGAGACUGUUUGUAAUUUACAGUAUGUGACAUUAGCCUUUGGACCAAACAGUUUCAAAGCCAUCCAAGCUCUGGGAAUUGUCAUCUAGUGCCCUGCUUAGCUUUCUGCUCUGAGCAUCUUUGAAGACCGGGUAGGUGUUGGGGAGUGGGAUCUGUGUGGGGAUGGAGAGGAAUUCUGUAUGUGAUACACAGAGAAGGAUAUAGUUUUUAUAUAUGUAUACGUACAUUAUAAGCAUAAUGUAUGUGUAAUUUCUGUGUAGUUUAUAAGGCAAUUAUUAUUCCAAAGGUGCCCAACUUAAGAUUUACAAUAAGAAUGUGGCAAAGGAGAAAAGUAUAUUAAGAUUUGGGGUUUCAUAAUACAUUAUUCAAAAACAGCUGUGGUCAAGUCCCUUGACUUUUACAAUGGAAAAAUAGAGUCUCUGGUGAUGGAUUAUUAGGAAUUCUGGGUGAAUUCUGGAACCUGGAUCUUUAGAAUGCAAGCAGCCCUGCCGAGGUGCUGGGCUCAUCUCUGUGUUCCCCAGCUCCAUUCCAUUAUGCACAAAGGUCCUUUUCUAGGUGACAUAUCAUGUUGUAUUCCAAAGUACACUUUCUUUUAAUUUACAACUUAAUUUUCAACCUAAUUCAGAAGAUUGAUACUAUAAUGCUAUUUGCAGAAGUAUUGAAAUGUCAGUAAGUUUUAUUGUAGUAAUAAAGAGUAUUCCAUAUAUCACACACUCUAUAGGGAUCCUUGCUUUUUGCAUAGAUCUUCGUAGCAACAACCAGUGGUUAAAUGCUGGCAAUCAUUAAUUUUUAAAGAAGACAUGGUUAUGACGAGUUGAGGAAUUAAGGCUGGUGGUGAAGAAUUAACUUUAAUUUUUUGACACUUUUUUUGGGGGUUGCCUACUAAGGUGAGGUGACAGCAAGAUUAUAAAAAAUGGCCCAAAUCCCAGGUUCCUAAUACUUAAAAUGCUGUCUGCUCAUAAAAAGAUUUUAGUCGGGGAGAGGCCAUCUUUGAACUCCUCGUAACAAAUGGGUAUCAGUGGCCCAUGAAAUAAUCAAUGCCACUAAUCCAUCCUAGGGCCUGCCAAUAUGUUAAUGGCCCUGGUGCAUCGUUAUUGCUACAAGACCAUAAAUCAUUCUGGUACCAGAAUGCAUUGCUGUUGAGGCCUCAAACCCCUCACUUGGAAUAAAAUUCUGUCUCCUAACAAUUAAUGUCCAAACAUUUUGCAGCUUUGUGCCUUGAUUGUUUUCAGAUGCUAAAAAAGUAAGUAGGACAGAUUGUAAAUCAAUAAAACUAUAAGACAAAGUGUUUUAAUAAUAGGAAGAUUCAGAGUAAAUCAUAGUUCUAUGUUUAUUAUUGCUUUUGGGCUUAUAAAUGAAGAGUUACUUUCUACUCCCCAGCAAGUCUACCAGGUUAACAUGGGGGCACCAAGUCCAGGGCUAACCUCCGUGAAUGGGGUUUCCUUCUGUUGUGUUACCCUGAGAAGCAAAAACUGGCCAACUGGAGCCACAAAUCUGACUCUGUAUGGUAGGGCGAUGUUUAGUAUAUGGCGGAUCUGUUUUGGGGUCAGUUAAAUGAGGGAGUUUUCUGUUGGAAACAGCAAAAGUAGCUCAGCAUAAAAUGGUUUCUUUGGCAGCAGCAGGCUUUGGAUAGGCAGUAUGAUGAGAUGUCAGUGUGUGAUUAAUUAUUUGGCUGUGGUGACAUAGGUGAUGAAAUCACUUUAAAACAGGAGCCAAGUUGGUUUGAGUUGCCUAGGAGUUUCUACUCAUAUUUCUUUUCAUUAACUUAUAUAGCCUGGGAGGUCAACUUUGGUCAUAUAAAUACCUGUGCUGAACUAUAGGCAACCCAAGAGGAACUCAUUUAGGAAACAAGAGUUGCAUCCAAUUGAUCUGAUUCCCUUUGGUCAGUGUCAAUUUAGUCUUCUGUUGAAGGUGUUGAGAAACACGAUGGGAAGUCAUUAACUCUACUUUGUAUAGACAAAGCUUAUUUGUGCCCAUUAUGGUAUUACUUGUUCUACAACUGUACCUUUGGCAUGUGCCCCUGGGCAUUAAUGAAGGUUAGAUCUUCAGCCUGGAAGUGUGAGCUUGCCAUUUGCUUGGGAGCAGCCUGUCCAAGGGAAACAGCCUGAGGAGCCUGCCAUGAACUGGCUGGUGAGCUGGAAUCCCACCAUGAAUGGAACUGGGGACAUUUAACCCAGGCUGAGCCCAUUUUCCAUGGCAGGCUGAAUGCUGUGAUGAACCAAGAAAGUAGACAACUGCAUGGUAACAGAGCAGAAUGUGGGGUCUUUGAUACUGUUAGCUUUUAGAUCACUAUGACGUUGAAAGACAUCGUGAUCCCACACAAACAUUAUGGAUUGUCACAGUCCCAAACACUAUUCAGCGACUGUCAUGCAGCAGGAGAAGGAGGGGGCUCUUGGCCUCUGACAGGACACCACUGUCUUGCAGUUGUGUGUCCCCAGUGCCCAGCUCCAAUGGGUGUUCAUAGUUUAUUUUGGGGCUCAGGAAAUAGAACAGGAAAAGGCCAGAAAGACAGUGGCUCCAUACAGACAGAAAGACAAUUAAAACUGAUAUGACUCUUAACAGAAGUGGCAAGAGCAGGCAGGAUGGAAGUAAUUUAUUCAACGAAUUGUCCAAAUACAUAAAAUUGCACUGAUGUAUGGUGUAGCGGUGGGACAGUGGAAAAUUUGAUAGUUGUUUCCGUUGUGUGAAUUACUCAGACAGGAUGCCUUUGUGAAGUAUGGGGGUUUGUUUAAUGUUCUGACAACAAUUUAGAUCCUGUUAUGGUUAUUGCAGUGUAAUGCCGUAGUAAAAAUUGAACAUGACACACCAGCAAUUUAUUAUUUGUAUGUUUUUUAACCUUGAGUAUCGGAUUGUUUGUCCAAGCAUAUCCUUUGAUUUGCUAUGAAAUUUAUUGUUGAUAAAAACAAUCAGAUUUCCAUUAGAUGCAAAAAAUUAUUAUUUUUUUUGCCAUGAACCAUAGAUUUAGGGAAGAAAAAUUCAGACUAGGCUACAGGACUUAUGACAGGUAGACUCAUGACAUUAUAUGGUAAUUCAGCAUGAAAGAAUAAUUGUGACACUCUACUUGGUUGUGGAGUAUAAUCGUGCUGUGAGGUUCAAUUCACUGAAAGGCCAAAUUAUCUUCAACUACAUUAGUCUGACAACCUAUAAUGCUCUGCAGAGGCAAUUUGUAGACGUUUCACAGAGUGCCAGCAAAACAGGGCUCCCCAUUAUGCCACCCAUUAACAAAUUUGUGUAGAGAAAAAAGUAACUUUUCCAUUUUCCUGACUGUUUUCAAGCUUUGCAACAUAAUAAAUAUCUAAUAGUAGUAUUUGCAUUGCCAUUUACUCUCUUAGUUUCAAAAUUUAUCUGAGGUAUGGGAAGAGACAUUUCUCUCUUAAGCUAUGUAGCCUAAGAAAUAUUGAUAUUUUCUUUGACUUAAGCAAUGGCAUGGUGCAGGGGAGAAAGCGCAGGAUUCAGAGGCCCCCACACCUUUGUCUUGCUGGCUUUUCUGUUCUUCCUCACUUUGGACUUCAGUUGCCCCAUCUCUAAAUGGAAAAUUGUAAUACGCUCAUCUAAGAAUCUCAGCGAGUGGGUUAAGCUAAAGGGUUCUUCAUAUUCUUCUAGCCACUGUAAAAACAAUUAUAUUGGAGAAGUUCCAGCAUAGGAGAGUGUCGGCUGUUUUGUAUUGCUGGUUUUAGGAGUGGACCCACAAGAUGGACAAGUGUGAUUCUCAGCCCUGUGUUGCUUGGUUGCACCUGUCUCUAGAUGCCUGUCUCCAGAACCAAAUCCAGGGCUAUGCCAAAAUGAAUUAUUUUACUGUUAUCAUCUCAAAUAUCGAAUAUGCACAUUGAUUUUUCUCUAAAGAAUGAAAAAGCUACUCCUGUGCUGUGGAAAUUUAGGGACACAAUGUAUUUGAUGAUUGUUUUGGAAAAUCGUUAUUCAUAAACCAUAUCGGAUGAAUUGUGAAAAUGUUGGUUAUCUGUACAGGUAUUUCUGCUUGUGAGGAAAUGCAAAGCUGUAUGGCUAAAUGUCCUAAAUAUUUAUAGAAUUUUUAUAUUUUCACCCAGAUUUUUGGGAACUGGAGAAUCCAAUCCCCUUUUUUCCCAAAGGCCAGUGCCACUUUUAUUGUUAUUCUUUCAAAACAAAAUUAUUCCUGUAAUCCACCGGUUAUUUUCUGCAGUAGCCACUACUGGAUCAAAAUGGAGUUUACAGGGUAAUAAGUUUGCUCAGAGAGGCUGGGACAGCAGAAGUGGCCUGAGGGGCCGAGCCCCCCUCUUCUUUGUCUCCUCUAGUCAAAGGGUCCUUUAAAAGGUUUCAUACCUUGGGAGCAAAUGGGCCUGGAGAUGAAUCAAUCUGUUUCUGGUAAUUGAUUUAUAAUUUAUGAUUUUAUGAAUCGUCAAACUUCCUACACUGUUUUUGAGUAGCAUUGUGUAAAUCACUCUGUGUCACACAAUGAGUUGAGUCCCAAUGUCAGAGACUGACCCUUCAUUAUGACAGGCCGUUAGGUCUCACACCUGCUGCUUUCAGGGGAGGUAAUGGCUUUUCUUAAGGAUAGAUUUGGAUUCAGCCCUCCCUAUUAGAAUCUGAGAUGCAAUAUUGUUUUGGCUGUUCCUGUGUAACUUAGUCCAAAUUCAAGCCAUAAGAAAAAGUAAAACAUUAAUCUUAAUAAUCAUUUCCAAGGACUGUAUCUACCUUGCCUGUUUGACUGGGUGGGAGGGCUUUUGCUUGAUUAUUCAAGCCUUUUUAUUUCAGCAAAACUUAGGAGACAUUUCUAGAACCCUAGAGUAGAGAUGUUGGAUCAGUGGUCAUAAGUUGAAAAAGAAUGUGUGUGUAUGCAUCUCCUGCCCUAUGACCAGGUGCCCUAUCCCCUAGGGAGUGGGAUUUCCAAAUGUGUGGCUCUUAUCUCCAAGGGGACCGUGAAGAGAGUGUAAGUAGUUUAGUGCAAUCAGUCAACACUACUGGAAAAAUGUACCUAAAGUUUACAUGCUUCAGAGGGGAGUUAAUCACCUCUUCCCUGGUAUAAAAGAUGCCCUGUAUGUGGAAGGCAUGGAUGAAAGCAGGAAGGGCCCUGUUAACUGGGGAGACACAUUAAGUAUGGAAUGCCAUUACAGUGGGGGAAAAUUCAUAAGGAGAAGAACGAAAGUUGCAGUUGGGGUUGGUGGUGAGUGGGGGUAAUAGAUUGUUUUGCAGGUCUGGUGUCCCAGUGGUAUAGUUAAGGACAAGCUAGAGCGUUCAUGUUUACGCAUAAUGCUCUCCCAUGUAAUUUCGGCUGAACUGUUGCUGACUUACUUAGCAUCCAUAGGUGAGCCACCUGCAGAAAGGGCAUGCAGGUAGAUUAUUGUUGACUUUAUGGUUAUAGAACCUAGCUAAUCAGUGUGCCUGCUGGGCUAUAACUUGCUAUGCCUGAGUGGUUUUUACACCAGGUCUUACGAUUUCUUACUGGCAAAAGGGAAAAACACUCAUUUCUCAUGGCCAUGGCCCCUACUGGGAGGGAAGCGCUCAUCUCAUGUGGAGUAAAAAUACAGUGGUAAAACUCAUGAUACAGAGGUUUCUGGAGUGUUUGAAAUAUGACCAAUAUGCCUACUUAGCCUUCCUUUGGAGGACUGUGCGGUUUCACAGAAUGCAAGCCCUCAUAGCCUAAUGAGAUAAGUCGGCCAUGGCUAGGAAGUCUACUACUUGCUGUGUUCUAGGAUUUUUGAGACAUCCUCAGUCCCUGCCCACAUCCAACAAGUUGGAGAGCCAGUUAUGGGUACAAUGAUACACUCAUGAUCAUUCUUCCUUUAGAGCUUGAGUUACUUUCAGAUGUGGAGGAGAUUUUCCUUCUGCUGUUUUUCUCAGUGUCUGAUUAUGCAAGGUUCUAGUCCACACAGAGGCCAGCACAUGGUGCCUAUUAAGUACUACCUUACAAAUUGCUUUCACCUUUGACGUUCCCAGUAAAGGUCACUGGUUAAUUUUGCAUUGUGUAUGGCCUGUUUCGCUAGCUUUAGCUGGCUUUCCUCCCUUGAAUAAUUUUGUGAGCAAUGUCCCUGGCGUUCGGGUUCUAGCUUGCUUCUCUGGUAUUUAUCUUUGCCGUCCUUCACCUGAUUUUUCUUCUCUGUGAUGAUGCUGUGUGCAUGUUUCUGUGGGAUGGAAUCUCGAUCAGUUAAAAAGCGUAGGAGAUAUGAAAGGUCAGCAUGACAAAUCUGUCCUCUGAGCGUGUGUAUGUGUUUGGGUAGCUGAGCUCAGCUGACCAGGGAAGACAAAUAGGGAAUGUGAAGAGGGCUGCCUCAACAGCCUUUAAGUUAGAAACAAAAUAUCUAUUGCAUGGAAUAUGAGUGUUAGGGCAUCAUAUCAGAAAUUCACAAGACUGAUAUUCUUGUCUUCAUUUGGAAAGGUCACAGGCUUUAUUUGCAGUAAGAUAUGCAUAUGCUUAUCGCUUGCUUUUAUUUUCUCUUUUAAAAUGUGUAUUAUAUACCUACACUGUGUAUAUUUUACAGAUGCUUAUUUUAACCAGUAACCAUGUUCUUUAACGUGACAAUGCAAAAAAUAUCUUCAGAUAUGAUUUUAGCAAGUUAUUUUACAUAACAAAGAAGAUGAUAAUCUGUGGGUAUUUCUGUUUCCCUCAGUUAAUUCCUUUUCUAUUUAUAUUUUGUGGAGCUGAGAAAGGACAUUUCUAGUGAUGAUUUGAAGCUUUUCUAAUUUAAUUUUAUUGUUGUAUACUUGUCUUCACUAAAAAUGCUAAUAUCUGUAAGAAGCUGUGUCUUACCUUUUAGUUUGCUUCAUAGAUGGCUUUGUUUCCUGGAGUUACCCAAUUUUGGGGAAUCAUCUGACUCAAAUUUGCAUUCAGGCCAUCUUUGAUUUUUUUCCCCUUAUCAAAGGGAAAAAGGGAAAGAGAACAUAUUUUUUUGAGUGGCUACAUUUAGCCAGACACUGAAUUAUUCAUUAUUUCAUUUAGUUUUCAUAACAACCGUCUGGGGGAUAUUAUGAUCCCAAUUUCACAGAUGAGGAAACUGAGGUUUAGAGAGGUUCCCAACUUUGCCAGAAGACACACAGCCAGCCAUCAGUGAAAUGGGGAUAGAAAUGUUGGUUUGACUGCAAAGCCUGUGCUUUUUUCCAUGACACUAAACUGCAUAAUCUUCCUCCUAAACACACAGCAUCUCUAGCUACAGUAGAAAAGUGAUCCCCAAAUAACAAUAACCCAGACCAACAGUGAUGAGUGCAUUAUAUUGAAAAAUGGUAGGGAUUGUACAUAAAACCUUACGAAAUGGGCUGUCAUUAAAAAAUGAUGUUGCCCUUGAACAUUUAUCAUGUGCUUAGUUCUGUGCUUGAUACGUGGCUCUGUGUGUGUGUGUGUGUGUGUGUGUGUGUGUAUGAAAGGUGCAUAUACAGAGGUGGUAGACACUGGAAAACGUGGUCCACAUCCUCAAGAAGGGCAGAAAAGACACAUCUGAAACUUGAAUGAAUGGUGGAAAUUCAUAAAUGAAAAAGGCUGAAUUACUGUGUGGAUCAGGAUGCAGGUACUAGGUUAGUUCAGAAGAGACGGAGCACUGGGGAGGAGGCAAUGUGAUGGGAACCAUGAACUUGAUCUGAGCCUUAGAAAAGGGUGAGUUUCAGGUGUUCUAAUAUGCAGGUGGAUGUGCUGUGCUUCUAGGGCUGGGAGGCUUGAAGCUUGUGUGGAGAAAGGGACUUAAUGGGAUGGUGGCUAAUGGGGGUUGAGUGUAUACUUUUGGGUAGAUGGAUAAGUUGGUCUGUGUGUGUGUGAGGCAAGAGUGGUGGUCUCCCCCUGCCCGUGGCACAGUAGCCAUGCUGAGCCCCUCUCAUCAUGUCUCAGUCCUGCCCACCUUCUCUCCUCUGUGCCUCUGCACAUAUCACUCUGUCUAUUAGCCUCCUGCUCAUCACCUUCAGGUCCAAGCUAAAAGGCUGCCUUCUCUGGGAAGGCUUUCCUGAUUUCCCCAUUAAGUCUCACUCCCCCAGCCCUCUCUCUUGCCACAUCACAGGACUGGUUAUAUUUUAUAACAACUCAUGCAGUCGUCUCCCUUACCAGAUAGGAAGCUGCCGUGAAGGGAGGACAGUUAGCAGGUACUCGGGCAUAUAAAUAGCAGAAUCUUGACUGAAUUAGCUAAUGAAUGAGUGAAUGUGUUUACAUUUUAUUAGUUAACUAGGGAAAGCCAGGGAGUUCUAUGUGUCCACUGAAAUCUGAAGGAAGGUUCAUUUGCUGGUGCGUUGGCACAGUAGGGCCUAGUCCCCAAAGAAGACGGAUUUCUCAUUGGAUCGCCAGCUUCAUCCUUCAUCGUCCUCUCAGGAGUUCCUGAUCUUUCUUUUGGACAACGUGAGCAUAUUUGGCCAUUUUAUCUAGACCUAGCAGGGGGCAUCCUGAGAUGGGAACUCUUUAAGCUAGUAGAUUCUAGAAUUACUCAAUCACCCUCAAUAAUUCAAAUGUGACUGCUGAAACCAAGAGAGUUUAGUUUCUUGGUGUGGGAAGGGUGUGUGUAUGAAAGGGUAUAAAGUGUGGGAAGGGCAGGCAAAGAAAUGAGGUCGUGAAAAUACUAAGGUGAGGGAGUUUAUGUAUCUGUGUGGUAUUAACUUCAAAUGAUGAUUGAACAAGGACAGGACACUAUAUGUUGACCCACACCAAACAGUGAUAGGAUGAUUCUGACAUCUUGUGCAUCUGGCUGGGUUUUGUUGUUGUUUUUGUUGUUAUUGUUGUUUAAAGAGACAGAGUCUCACUUAGUCACUCAAGGCUGUAGUGCAGUAGCGCGAUCAUAGCUCACUACAGCCUGGAACUCCUUUGCUAAAGCAAUCCUCUCACCUCAGCCUCCCAAGUAGCUGGGACUACAUGUCCACACCACCAAGGCUAUUUUUUAAAAUUUUUAUUUGUAGAGAAGGAGUCUCUUCAUGUGAACUCCUUGGCUCAAGGGAUCCCCAACCCCCACCUCCCCACCUUGCUCAGCCUCUGAGCAAGUGUAAUACCAAAGUGUUGGUAUUACAGGUGUGAGCCACCACACCUGGCCUCUGGCUGAGUUUAAUGCUUCCUAGUGCCAUUCUUUUAUAACACACCACUAAAAAUUCCCUUUCGUAUUCUGCCUGAAAGCACUGUGACCAUUCUUGUUGAUGUCUGAAUUUAGUGACAUGUUUCUUUUUCUUUUUGGGUGGUAUGAUAUGGACUCAAGUUGCUCUAUAGAGCACUGACUUUUUCUUGUUCACGUAGAUCUCAAAUAUAUCUCAACACAGAUCAACAGAUGCACAAUGGCCACGACCCCACCAUUCACCUCUUCAGUAUGGUGACUGAUCUGUCCCUCCCGACCCCCGAUGGUGCGCAGACACUGGAGAUCCUAUUCUGGGCAGGGUGCUCUAGCACUCUGAGGACUUUUAAGGUCAGAUUUCCCAGCUUACUGAUGAGCGUGUCAUAUGAGACCAGACAAACAGGCCUGCUGCAGUCUGGAUGGAUUGCAUCUAUUGCUUUUCUCUCAUCCCACUUCCUGUCUCUCAUCCCACUUCCUGUCACUCCAUCAUUGAAGGAAAUUAAGCUGGCCUGGCCUGGGUUGCUCUUCAUAGAACCUGCUGGUUGUUCCCCACACCCUGGGCUUUUUCAGGUGAUUGCAAAUUGAUUGUCUGAUGAAUUAUGCACAAGAGCCACAAACUUUCCUUUGGCACCUUGAGUUUUUUAUAUGGAUCUUAAGCCUUGAACCUUUUUUUUUUUUUUGAAGAAAGAAAAUUAAUUAUUUUCUUUUUUCUAUAUAAAAUUAAAUAUAUAGGAAACUUGAGAAAGGGCGUUUUUUUAAGGCUAAGCCCACCUUUGCUUAUGCUAAUCUAUACUUUUUAGCAGUUAUUUUUGAGAGAGUGAUUUAUUUACACUGACAGCUUGUUACUUAUGAUAGCUGCUGCCAGCUUCUGAAGUAAUCUGAUAACGUCAAAAUGUGAAGGGAAGCUAUAGGCUUUACCUUGACUGACUUGCUAUAAAUCAUGUACAUUGCUGGUGUCUAUAUGAGGAUGCUUGGGUUGAUACUGAUGGAAAUACAAAUCAAAUGCAACACAUGGUAACCCAAUUCAGAGCUAGAGAUUUUGGAUUAAGCCUAUUGGAUUCAUAUUUUUUAAGUGAAACAGAGCAGACAUACCAGGUUGUGUUUUGAAACUUCACAACUUUCUGAUAUGGUAACUUCAAGGACAACACCUGCCUUUGAAAUGGAAAUGCAAAGAGGUGAAGUCAUCAUGCACCUUUGGUUCCUUUAUUACUUCAACAACCAUCUCUGUUUUUUUAGCACUUUCUGUGUAUCAUUAUGCCAAGGGAAAGGUAUGACACUGUUUUAACUAUUUAUCUGUAGAUGUGUUUGUCUGUUUAAGCUCCAUGAAGUAGAACGUUGUCUUUCUCAUCACUAUAUGCCCAGUGCUUAAGAUAGUGCCUGGCCCACAGUAAGUGUUCAAUAAAUGUUUGUUGAAUGAGAUUAGGGAGCCCAGAGUUUGAAAUUUUAGUGUGGGCAAAACCUUGAAGUCAUGCCCCACGAAGAAGAAGUCAUUCCCAUCUCUGGACUCACCAUUAAGUCCUCUAUAGUCCUUUCUGUAGAUUUCUGGUAAAGCAUGUUUCAUACUGCAAAGUAAUUGCUGAUUGACACGUUGGUUUCUUCAACUCUAGCACAAACUCUGAUACGAUAGAAAUGAUGUCUGGCUAAUUUUGGACUUCCCAGGGCCUGGCACAUGGGUGGCCCUGAAUAAUUGUUUGUAGUCAUAAUGUAACAGGAUUCUUAUAAAAUCAACUACCUAUAGCUUUGUCUUUACAUUUUCAUAAUGACAUUGAAAAAAUCCGAAGUAUAUGCAUUAAAUUCUAACAGGGAUCAUUUUGCCAAGUGCUAUAGAAGAUGAUUUUUGUAUUAUUCCUUUGGAUUAUCUGCAUUUUCUAACUUAUUUUUAAUAGUGACUAAGUAUUUGUUAAAUGAAAUAAUAGUAGAGGGAAUAUUAUUUAAGUUUUUUCCCCUAACACUUUUAUGUUACCUAUGGAAAUAUGAAUUUGUGAGAUUUUUUUGUGUGUGUAAUAAAUUUUUAUCAGUUGGUUCAACCAAAUGCAUCAGGGGAAUUUGCUGAAUAAUGGAAUCCUUUAGUAGAUGGAGCACCGACUAUCAAAUGUGGCUUUGGUGUAAAUCUGGAUACCUAACGACUGGGUAUGCUUACAGGGAGGCAUGCCUAUGUUUGGAAAGGAAGCAUCAAUUGAUGCGGAAGACCAAACCAUGGGCAGGAAUCCUGGGGCAAGUUUCGUUCUCUCCUCUAACAUUUGCAGAUUCUUGGGCAAGAGUACAGAUGGAAGCCCCUAUACCAUAUGUCUAAGUAUUUUUAAACCAAACUAACAAAUGCUAAAUAAAAUAUGCUCUGUUCUUUUAUCACAACAGAUAUACUUUUGUUAAUGAAUUGGAAGUCAAUUGCAAUUUAGAAUUCUCCACUUCUUUGGGGAGCUGGAAUGUGGCAGCAUGGUGAGAGCCUCCCCUGGGUUCUUGACCAUCCCCCUUCUCUGUGCAGCCCUGGCCCUCUCUUGUGUGCUGAGUAUCCUCAUUGCGCAUGUGUCUGGAUAGGAUGUACCACAGCCUGCAUGUGCAGACUGCCUAUUUGUUCACAGCUCACCACGAACAGCCAUCCCUCUGGACUAGAAUUGCACAUAUUGGUUGACUUUUGUAGGAUGGCUUACUUUUGAUAGAGUUCUGGAUACCCACAGUGGAACUUAGAAGGUGGAGGGCACACUGUGGCAUGCUCCUGGGCCCUGAGGACUUCUUAUCCCAUGAGGAGGAGCAUGUCGAAAAAAGCUGAGCUGAAAAAGGUUGAGGAGGGUCCAGGGAAGCAGUCUCCUUGCUCAGGCCUGAGAGUAUAUUGCUGGUGAUACAGAAAUGCACUGGGAAGCUAAAGGUUCAUGGCUCCAAAUUUAAGGACAAGCCCCAUACUUCCUGAGUUAUAAGCCCAAAGAUCACCUUAGAUUUAGACCAGUGUUCAUAGUAAUCCAGUGGUCUCCAAUUUCAGUGUAAGAAUGUCUCAGGGGUGGAUGAAAAUGAAUAUGUGGGCUAUAUAAUGAUGAACUGCUUGUGUCCCAUGUGUUAGUAUGACAGCCAUGCCCAGGCCUCUGCCAAGUUUCCAACAUCAAAGAGAACAUGCAUAGAAGGCACUUAGCACAGUGGUGAGCUCUGCAUCAUUGGUGGCUCCCAUUAUUGUGAUUACUAUUAUUCUGAAUUGAUUCCUGUGUUUUACCAUCCAAGAAAGGCCAGUUAGGUUGGGUAAUUUUCUGUGGUUUGAGUGAGAAUAGGGAAGGAGUUUGUAUGGUUCAUAUUUGCCACUGUCAUAUUUGUCAUGCUUAUCUGUCUGCAAAACGUAAACUGUUCUCCUUCUGUAAACAUGCCCUUUAUCUCCUUGCCCUAACUUCAUGAGCAAACUCUCUGGCCUUUCUGUGUGAGUGCCACAGGUUGACUUUUUUUUUCCCACACAGAGCAAACAAAAAUGAGUGGGACUUUUUAUUGAGAUGAUAAUGUGGCCUGUUAUGGAGGCAGAAUGAGGGGUAAUGUGUUCAUUUCUUACCUUGAAGUUUGCUGCUUCUUGCCGUGCCAUUGCUGGAAGGGAAAGGAAGGGGAAGGGAACCCUCUCCUCAGGAGUUAGCAGAGAGAAGGGAAGCAGUUUUCCCUCAUGAGACAGACACAUCUUUUAAGGUCUUGUGUCUUUAAGUAGGGUUGGAGUGGGUUGGGGGAUAAAGAUGUUGGGGAUAAUGACAGUUAUCUGCAUACCACUGGAUUUGUCUUUCUAAAGUGGUGGAUGAAUCAUGAAGCCUAAAGGAGGUGCAGAAAUGGACUUUUAUCGGUAGUAGCCUAUUUGGAAAUAGAGAAGUUUUCUUUGAGAAGGAGGCUUCUCAAGCCCUUUCCCUUCAAGAUUCUUACCUUUGCUUGGGCCUCACCCAGCUGUUUCUGCUGCGUGGGAGACACAAGGGAGAUGGUUAUUGGAUUUGCAUGUUAGUUGAGGAGCCCAAGAUGGAUAGGCCCUUUCUUCUGUUGCCAUCUGACUGCUCAGGGCUGGAGUGUUCUGUGGUCUUCUAACUCUCCUGCUUGCUUCAAGUGUUAUAUGUGGUUUGCCAGGAUGAUAUGAACUUGGAUAUGCAAGAAAAAAAUUAAGCAAUAAUAGAGCUGAGUCAAAAGAGAGAAAAUAUCCAGUAGUUAUUGAGAGAGAGAAUGAAAUCACACAUGGGAGUAGAGAAAACAAUCACUGGAGCCACCAUUUAGGGAUGAAGCAGAGCUGUCAACCCCUGACAUCCCCCGCCAUGUUUAGCCUCUGAGGAGGAGUGAAAAGUCACAGGGUGAGUAUUCAGGAGAAUUGGACUCUAGUCUGGAAAUAUCACUUCCUCUCUAGGUCUCAGUCCCUACUGUUUAGACUAGACCUUUCAUUUCCUUUAAGCUGUAAGAAUUUGUUACUCUUAAUUAUAUCAAUAUAUAAGGAAUUAUUUGGGAUUUUGAAAAUAAAUACAUGAAUUACCAUGGAUUCAUGCAUGUGUUCAUUUACUCUGUGAAUGUUUAUUGAGUACUUGCUCUUUGCUAGGCACAAUGCUAGUUGCAGGGGACAGGGCAGACCUGGAUUCCCCUCUGUGGCGCCUGCCAUCCUGCAGGGAGUCCUGUCCACUCAGUAUAUGCUAACAAGCCCAGCAGGCUGUGGUAUCAGAAAAUAGGAUGGAGGGAGUGGCCAGGAUUGGGAGAAAAAAAUUGAAGAGUUUUAAGACAUGUAUCAAGCAUUUUUGUUUUUAGUUAUUUGCUCAGAUUCCACAUUCUUAUAGAGGCCCACCCUGGUUGCUCGAUUUAACACUGCAGCCUGUCCUUCUGUGAUGCUCCUGAUCCUCUCAUGCUGCUCUACUUUUUCUCCUUCCCUUGCCACUACCCCUUUCAGCAUUCGCUCUAAUUUACUUAUUCAUGAGGGUGAUUGUAGAUUGUCUGGCUACCUCAUGCUGAAAUAUAUGCUCACAAGAGCAGUGAUCUUUGUCCUCCGUGUUCACCAGUGUAUCCCAAGUACCUGCAACAGUAGCAGGCACUCAAUAAACAUUUAUUGAAUGGAUUAAUACGUGACUAUAUGACUGAGGAGUACAGUAGGGUAUUGUAAUGACCUUGGAAAAAACGUGGUAUAUUAUUCAGAAAGUCAGUCCUGAGAAAUUGAUGGCAUUAAUCUACCAAUGUUAUGAAAGUCUUUUGUUUUGGGGGGUGUUGAUGUAUAAUGGCAAAAUGAGAAGUGGAGGGUGGCAGACCACAGCAUAAUCCUGCAGCUAGCUUUGCUCAGGGAAUGACCUUACAUGUUUUCUUGGUUAGGUUGAGUUGAGUUGAGUCAGAAAUUCUUUUUAUUUUUGCUCCCAUGAAAAAUAAACUAACUAACUAACAAUCAGCAACAAAAACAUCACAUUCAGCCUAAACUCCUGGAUUGGUACUGAGGGAUAUUCUCAGUGGGGAGUGCUGUGCUGUCCUGUGCACUGCCUUCUACCUAGCCAUGCUGGAGGCACCUUGCUCCUGUGUUCUGUGGUGAUUUGAGGCUCUGGGUUCUGUUUUCCAUGGUCAAAACUUCUCUUCAUCAGCCCAGAGUACAUGUUUCAAAUUGUUGAAAUGAGUUGUUCCCACUCAAGCCUUGGGUUUGUGUGACACUGUUAAUAGUCAUCACCAGUCAGCAGACAAUAGAAGCCGCUAUCAGCUACCCUCUCAGCAAGAUAUUCACGAGUCCACCCGAGUCGCCUCAGAAGCAGCAUAUCCUAACUCAUUUUAUCUACGGAUCGUGUGUGAGACACAGAAAGUCAGACACACACUGUUACUUAUAAUUUUUUUUUACAUCUUUCCAUGGUAAGAUGCCUACACUUUAAUUAUGAACUUUUUAUUUUUUGUGGUGGGGAUGGCAGCUGGGCAAAAGGGUAAGAUAGUGAGAGGAGGACAGGGCCAGAAGAAAUUCUAAAGGAUGGGAUACAUCAGCUUCUUUCCCAAACUCUCCUCAUUUAGUAAAUGAAGGCACGUGAAAGCAGAACAUUUGGCACUUUGCACCAAUAUUAUGGUGUAAAAUUAUAGUUAGGAAUAUUGUGUAAAAACCGUAAUAGUUUGCAGUUAUAGCUAUAGUGAGAACAGCAGGCAAGACUAUAAGCUUUAAUUUAUGUUGUGCUUUGGACAUUUUUCAGAAACUAUUUACCCAUUACCUCUUAGGUCAGUGGCCUAAUAAUGCAACAAAGCACUUUUUGAAAUUGCAGAUAAUUUUCAGUGCUCAGAUCUCUGUGUAGUAUUGAUGGGGAGGGUGGUUGAUUAGGACCUUGGGAAUUGUGCUUGAUGGGAACAAUCUGGAAGGAGUGAAAAAUUAUUAAACACACACAGCGGGAGACGGAGGAUUUACCAUUGUCGUGCGGUGCUAUUAAUUCUCAUUGCUCGGUACAGAGGCUUGAUUGCAUACUGUGAAUACUGUUUAUUGGAGAAUGGGUACAAUUUUGCUGCAGUUGUUGUAAUGUAAUACUAAAUGCUAAUUAGGCUUCUAACAAUAAUUAGAACCUCUUGCCAGACUUAGAAAUAGAAACACUCAAUUGAAUUUACAGAAACAAAGACCUUUAAGCUAUGCCAGCAGCAGCGUCGGCUUCAAGAAGUUUUUUACAUUUUAGUUACAGAAUUGCCAGCACAUCUAUCUAUAUAUUUUUUUAUGGUGUGCAUAAUGAGUUCAUUUAUAUUCUUGAUAGGAUUAUUUUCAAAACAAGAUAAAGCAAACCUCCCCCUUCAAUAUCAGAUGAAGAAAAACUACAAACAGGUAUAAACCAAACGCACCUUUGUUGCCAUGCAGACGCCAACUGCCAGCUAUUUAGCUAUUUAGCUAUUUAGUAGGGUGGGGAAGGCGGGGCUGGGAUGGGGAACAUGGCUGAUUUGGAGGUUAGGGCCAUUCCGAAUGCUUAAGGUUUUCCUAGAACCCCAUGUUGUCUCCCUUCCUUUGUAUACACACACAUGCACGCACGCACACACACACACACAUGCACACGCAUGCACACACACACAUGCACACGCACGCACGCACACAUGCCUCAAAUACCACCUGAUUGCCAGUGUUGAUUCCUUGGAUCAGCUCCCUAAAUUGCCUUCUUAAAGCUCAGAGUCCUGAGGGGAUAAGCUCUUCUUUGGUGCUUGGCUUUGUCAACCCUUUCUAAUCAACCAGGAUGGCAAAACUCUCUCAGUAAAGUAAGGAGUGCGUCAGAUGUGCUCAGCAAUGAGAAAUAAUUAGCUGAAAGUUUCCCUGGCAUUCUCUGAGCCUUGUGGUUUCGCCCCCAUCACCAUGGCAGGAACGUUGGGCCAUCCCAAGAAUGUGGCCAUGGGUAUCUGCAGCAGUCUGGGAGGGCCUGGGCAUGUUUCUUGGCAUGGGGGCAGGUUGCAGUACCAUCAUCUGGGUUGGUUUGGCAGCGGUUGAGCAAGGCCUUUGUUGUUGGGGUAUCAAUGCUAUAUUUAAUUUCCUAAUCCUGUUUUGUUUUGUUUUUAAACCCAGAGAUACAAAGACUUCAGCAAACCUCAUUGACUCUCCCUUCACAAAUACACCACAUGAAACAAUUGAGCACGCCUCCCUCCUUUUAAUCUUAACUCAGCCUAAGUUGGCUAGCUGUUCUUCGGUGCUGAUAAUUAGGUGCUUGACAUGAUGUAUCAUGUUGCCCCUUAGUCUGGAGCCAUCAUGGUAAUAGAAAUAUAAUCCUGAAGCCCUGUUCUGGAACAGUCUUAAGAAAACCUAUAGUCCUCACUGCUGCACUGGUGCCAAAUUUCUGGGUGAAGUGAGUUUUUACAGGUUUCACUGGUUACUGAGAAAUACGUUUUAUGAUGGAAACGCUGGAAGCACAGUUUUGCUCCAGCCUCCAGGGUGAGGCAUGGCUAACUCUAAGGAGAGAAGCAAUUUCCUGAUUUCUCUCUGGUUUGGGUUAGAGUGGCCAUUUUUACAAGCUGUCAAGAAACGACGUUCAUAGAAACUUCCACUUUUGUGUCCUUAUUAAUAUUUCAUCAGAUUCAUCAAACACAGCCCCUUCCCCCAUCCAAGUGUCCCUGCCUUCUAACCCCCUGGGGUAAAAUUCUUCCUCCUUUUUUUUUUUAAACGUAAUUUUGAGUUCCUUUCAUGUUUGUUUUUGAACUUCUCCCUGUCUCCUCCUUACCAAGGAGGUAGGGCCUGUGGUGGGGCUGGUGCUGGCCCCAAAUCAGCUGCAGCUUCAGGUCAUCCAAGCCAGUCUCUCCUUUCAGAGGAAUUGAGUCACAUUCUCUCUCUGCCACUCUUUGGUUUCACAGAGGCCUCUCCUUUCCCUGCCUCACUAUUGGACUCUCCUUGUCCCAUGUAAGUUUGGUGAUUUGAUCAGAUUCUUUCUGCCAUUCUUAACCGGUGAUAGUGCAGUCUAAUUGUGCAACUGGGAACAGACCAAUUGUUUAUAAUGAUCUCCUAAUUUUGCAUGAAAUCUUAACAUUCAGGGCAGAAGACGUCAUUGAUAAAUAAUCAAUGACCAAAACGCCUUGACUUGGGUGGCUGAUUCCUCUGUGCCCAAGAGUGCCGUGUGAGAUGCUAAGUUUAGGUUUGGUCCUAAUGGGGUUAAAUCAAGUUGCAUGACUCGAGGCAAGUGCCCCACGUUUGCCUGUCUUGCAGUUUAUAUGAAGUAUGCCAGUGAAAUUUCUAAGGAGGCACUGUGGGAGCAUUUUUGUCUGCAUUUUAGCAAAUAUGCUUGAUUGCCAGAGGUGCUCAUGUUGUGGUUUUUCCCUUCCUGAGGAGACAGUUUUUCUCAAGCUGGUCUGCCGAGAGUCUGUGAAGGAUGGGGCCAGAGUGAGUCAAACGCUCUCUUUCUAUUUUCUGGUUACAUUUUUCUCGUUCACAAGUCAGUGGCACCUGCAAAUGGAAGACUUGCUGAGGUAGCACCUGGCUGAUUAGCAACUUUUGCUUGGUCCCACUCGCACACUGACCGUUAAAUUACCUCCUAUCAGGCCUGGGCUGUGUGGCCGCUGCGAGAGGCAGGCGGAGGUCACCUCAAUAUGGCUGACAUGUUCUGUGUUUUCCCACAGCAUGUCACAUGUAGCCAGUGCAGCGACUUUGACAAAGUACCGCAGGGUGACCUGGUAGUCUCGGGUCAGAGUGAGAGAAAUUGGUGUUGUACUAAGAUGUAUGUUAAUACAUAUAUUAUUUAUAUGGGCAUUAGCGAAUGCUAUUGUUGCCUUAGCACAAACCCAGGCCCAGAGAUUGGCCUUGGGGUUUUUGCAAGCUUACUUUAUCAUGUUUCUCCCCACCCCCUCCUUGCUCAUGAAUAAUUAAAAACUUAAAUUACUUGCCAUGUACAAAAUUCAUAUGCUGGGGAAAAUAGCUACAUGAAAAUUAAUUUUCUGUUCUGUGAGACUGACGGGAAAUCAAUUAAUCUUGAUGUAUUAUUUUAUGCAGAACAGGGUGCAAGAACCUGCGGAGAGAAUGGCUACAGCUGUUCUUGUUGGUCGGGCCAUAUAUUAUCGUUGGCGGGUUUGACAGCUUCUGAAGGAAAUGGCUGAGGGGUAUCAGGCAGGUGAAUCAACUGUAAAAAUUUAUUGGAGGAUACAAACUGUUUCCAGGGAACUGAUAUAAAACUCACACUUGAGAACUGAAGUAUUGAAUGUUUUUGUGACUGAAGCAGCUUGUUGUCAAUAUUUAUAGCUUUUCUCUUUGUUACAUGUCCUAUUUGUUUGAUUAACUAGUCAGAUGUUAGUGUCUGUCAGUAAUUUAUCUGUUGUGCCUUCUGUAGCAUUUUUGAUACAUAAAGAUUUACCACUAGAUAAAUAAGGCAGCACACACAAUGCAAUAUGCGGAAUAAAAUGACAGAGCUGUUUACAGCAUGUUACAAGUUUUAUAACUCAUGAGGUAGAUCGGUAACUUUUGUUUACUGGUGUCACUGUUUGUUGAAACAUGUCUCAAUGUAUUAAAUACUAUGGGGGUAAAUAAGGCUCUCUUAAAUAAGCAGAGAUUGUAAUCAACACAUACCUCAUGGUAAAUCAUUUAAGAGGCUCUGUAAAAACGUUUAUGUACAGCCAUACAUAAUGCAUACAUUUCUGAAUAAAAUAAAAUAAAUGCGUGCUUUUAGAAUAGACUGUAGUUACAUUCCUCUCCCAUGCCAUCGACAUCAAUUUCCCCUGUAGAUGAUGGAGGUGUGAUGUUCAGACAAAUGCUGACACAGACCGACGGGAGCUGGAGGCUGAGGGGCAGCGGCCUGGCAGGUGAUGUCUCUCCAGGGUUGGGGAAUGGCUCCUGGGAACACGGGUGUCUGCUUGCGGCAUCACUGGUCAUCACAGGCUGGUGGGGCUGGGUGGUUGUGGCUCUCAGUCUCAGGCAGUUGAAGCUGACUUUUUGUGCAGCCCUGUGUGAUGUCUGGAUUUAGGGAGAUGCCAGGAAAGUGGAUGUAGAUAAUGCUUUACCCAGGGCCCCUCUGUGACCACCUGUCUCUUCCCCAUCUCCAGGCAACAGCAGCCACUAAGAAGUGCUAGAGUCAUUGGCUUCCUAAGAAAUUGGCAUGAGCACUCAGGCCCCCUUAUCCCUACACAGAGAGGUGGAAACUGUACCUUGUGCCUGGCUGUGUAUUCUUCAAAUAUCAGGCUCAUGGCAUUUCAGCUAAGAAUCCCAACAUCUGUUGAUCAGCAACAGACUUGGCAAAUAGUGGUGCUUAGUAAGUAGCCCUUGAGACAGAGGACCUGAUUUGUGAUUCAAUUUCUAAUAAUUCAUAAAUGACUCUAUCAUGAAUAGCACUCAAUUUGAGGGCCAUUAUGACACUUUGAGAGGCAUAGUAAGAGUAUAUUGCAUUGAUAUAGUAUGGUGUACUCUUUUAGAAGCCUGUCAUUCAUAUAUAUAUAUAUGGAAUUUAUGUUAAUCAGGAUAAGCAUAUAUUAAGGUAUGUUUAUUAAGUCACAAGAAGAUCUCUUGCUUGGCCAGUUUGUGGGGUGGGGAUGGUUUGGGAUUGCUCUGUAAUAGACUACCACUAGCUUAGCAGCAUGAAACAACACUGUUUACUAGCUGUAGGUUGAGAAACCCAGCAAGCCUGCCUGGUAAAGAGUAUCAGAUAGGAAACAGAUAGCAAACAGCACAAGGCUGGAAUCAGGGUGUCAGCCCCUGUGUAUUUCUUUCUGGAGGCUCUGGCAAGAACCUGCUUCCGGGCUCUGUCAUGUCAUUAGCAGAAUGUACUUCCUUUUGGCUGUAGGACUGAGGUCCCUGUUUUCUUGCUGGCUGUUGGCCAGGGCACAUUCUCAGACCACAUGCCCGCCUCCAUCUCAAGUGAGAAACUCUCUUGUUGACUCCUCCUUACCUUUCUGAUCUCUCUGACAUACGCUUCUGCCACCAGCCAGAGAAUACCACUGCUUUAAAAAAAAAAAGGCUCACAUGAUUAGGUUACGCUCACCCAGAUAAGCUCCAUGUCUUAAGGCUACUACCUGAUUGGUAACCUUCAUCUGUGGAAUCCCUUUUGGCAUGAAACCUCCAUAAACAUGGAAGUAGGAUAAGGGAGCAAGGGUUAUGGGGUCAUCUUAGAAUUUUGUCUACCACAAGGGUAUUUGGUGUGACGUUUAUGCUGUGGAUUUUUCAGAGCAACCACGUUCUUAAUCCUUAUCUUCGUUUUGGUGUCCUACAACCUGGCCUGGAAAGAAGAGGGCCAACUCUGGGUGGGUUCCAUCAACAAGUACAUGUAGAGCACCUGCCGCACAGCUAACCUUCCUGUUAUGGACUAUUUGUUUAUGUCCCCCAAAUUUCUGUGUUGAACUCCUAAGCCCCAGUGUGAUGGUUUUAGGAGGUGGGGCCUAUGGGGAGUGAUUAGGUCAUAAGGGUGGAGCUCUCAUGAACGAUGGGAUUAGUACCCUUAUAAAAGGAAUCCGUGAGAGCGCUGUGAGGACAGAAUGCAAAGACAGUUAUCAGCAACCUAGAAGAGGGCUCACGCCAGGAUCAGGCCAUGCCGGCACCCUGACUAAGAACUUCCAUCCUGCAGAACCAUGAAAAAUACGUUUCUGUUGUUUGUGAGCCACCAGUGUAUGGUGCUUUGUUAUAACAGCCUGUACUGACUAAGAUACGUGCAUUAUAGGCAGGAAGUAAAAAUCUCUGUAAGAUGCACGUUCCUUGCUCUCUCCACGUCAAAGUUUUUCAUACACAUAUCAUGAGAUUGUCAGCCAAUCAAGGCAUCUGAGGACAUGGGCUAAAUUAAGUGGGAAUUGAGUGGGAAAGUAAACCCUUGGGAGUUGAAGCAGGCAAAGGAAGGCUUCAGGAGACCAAAUGGUCAGUGGGCCUUGAACAAGGCAGACAGUUCAACAAGAUGGAGAGAGAGGGGCAAGGCCACCCAGGUGGCAAAGAGCCUACUGUGUGGGGAAAUAAUGGGAAGUCAGAUUGAGCUGCAGUGGUGGGUCCUCCCCCAACAUUUGAAUAGGUGUGCUGUGGGGGUGGAUGGGAGGCACACUAUGAAAAAUACAUGUGUGUUCAUGAUAAGCCACAUGGGGACAGCCACAUGUUGAAAUCACAUGAAGUUCCUUUUUCUUACAGAAGCCUCUGGAAGGACUCAUGUCCUCCAUCCCUGCCUACAGCAAGCCUUUGCCAAGGGCCCUCUGCUCUUAGGGUACAAGUGAAUCAUUCUGAACAGUGUGAGAAGUUCUAUACACAAAGUUCGAAGCCCAGCCUUCACAUUGAGAUUGUCUGAGAAACUUGCAAAAAGGAUACCAAUGGUCAGGGAGUACCUCAGACCAACUCGAUCAGAUUUCUGGUGGUUGGCAUGGGGAUUGGGAUUGUAUGGAAGUGUUCUCCAGGUGACUUUAAUAGCAGCUGGCCAAGUCUGCAUUUGUGGAAAUCUGCAGUAUUUGAAGUUUGGAGGAGAUCAAUUUUUCAUCCUUUCCUUCGUGGGAUAAAGAAUAUUUCAACCACCUCUGGAGACCAAAGAGUUCUGAGAAGUUUUGAAAUAGCUUGGGAAAUACACCACGUGCUUCACACUUCAUUUUUCUCCUCUCUCUUUCAUUGUUUCACUUAAUUAAAAUAUUGUAAUGCAAGGAGAGAUGAGGCAAACGUUUAGAGAAGGAAAAGGAAAUGGGUUCAUGUUUAAACUGACUCUGAGCAAGCAUGGCGAUGGUAGUUUGAAAGAAUUCUGAGCAUGUAGGAAGGUAAAUUCAAAAUGUUCUUCCUGCCUGAGAAGUGAUUAAAAUACCUGUGAGCACCAA